rnacentral:rRNA from 1 species
CACCGCGGUUAUACGAGAGGCCCAAGUUGACAGAUACCGGCGUAAAGAGUGGUUAAGGAAAGCCUGAAACUAAAGCCGAAUACCUUCAGAGCAGUUAUACGCAUCCGAAAACACGAAGCCCUACCACGAAAGUGGCUUUACCAUUCCUGACCCCACGAAAGCUAUGAUA